rnacentral:rRNA from 1 species
AAUUUUGGACAAUGGGGGCAACCCUGUUCCAGCCAUCCCGCGUGUAUUUUUAAGGUCUUCGGGUUUUAAAGUACUUUUGGCAUAGAAGAAAAGAUAUCUCCUAAUACGAGAUAAUGCUGCCGGUAUCUGCAGAAUAAGCCCCUGCUAACUACGUGCCAGCAGCCGCGGUAAUACGUAGGGUGCAAGCAUUAAUUGGAAUUACUGGGCGUAAAGCGUGUGUAGGCGGUUCGGAAAGAAAGAUGUGAAAGCCCAGGGCUCAACCUUGGAACUGCAUUUUUAACUGCCGAGCUAGAGUAUGUCAGAGGGGGGUAGAAUUCCACGUGUAGCAGAGAAAUGCGUAGAUAUGUGGAGGAAUACCGAUGGCGAAGGCAGCCCCCUGGGAUAAUACUGACGCUCAGACACGAAAGCGUGGGGAGCAAACA